CACGUAGGGCGCAAGCGUUGUCCGGAAUUAUUGGGCGUAAAGAGUUCGUAGGCGGUUUGUCGCGUCGUUUGUGAAAACCAGCAGCUCAACUGCUGGCUUGCAGGCGAUACGGGCAGACUUGAGUACUGCAGGGGAGACUGGAAUUCCUGGUGUAGCGGUGAAAUGCGCAGAUAUCAGGAGGAACACCGGUGGCGAAGGCGGGUCUCUGGGCAGUAACUGACGCUGAGGAACGAAAGCGUGGGUAGCGAACAGG
rnacentral:rRNA from 1 species